CUUCCCCUGUGCAUCCGCUCUCCGCCUGUUAUAUUCAGAAAGUAUUAGCAGAGAGAGUACAAGUGUUCUUCGAACCACGAACGAUAAAAGGAACUGCUUCCAACCCAGAGCAAGCUACCAUUCUGUCAUCUUCCAAAGAGCCAGAGACUAAAUCUGGAGAAGAGCUCGUGGGACAUGAUCUGGAAACAGUUCAAUUGAGCAGAUAAUUUUCCCCUCGGCAGAAAGCUGCUUUGGUUGGCGGGGGACUGGGCCUUGAGGAGAGCACGUAAAGAGGUGUCAACGUCCUGUUGACUGAAGAUGUUUGAAGAUGUGUCAGGUGUUUACUGCUCUGGCUGCAGGUUCCUCCCAGCCUUGUGCUCCUCCCCGAUCUCCUGGUUCCUUUAAUGGCAAGCUAAAGAACUCAGCCGGAUUUGAGACAAAGGACCUAGUCCCAACACGGCUUGUCAACAGAAGAAUGAAGCCCAAGGGCAAGGAUGACUGGAACUCAGCUAACACCAGAUGACACUGUGAUUCAGAUGACAGCAACAAUGGAUGGGGACUGGAUUCCUACCCCUGGGAAACAAUGCAGACAGCACCCUGCGGUGAGGCGGGAGAAAUGGAGUGCACCACAGCCAAGGAGCCCCACGGGGAAAUGAGGGACAGCCUUGCCCCAGACUUCAUGUGUGUGAAGUUCAGAAGCAGAAAAGCUAUGAUCUAACAGCCAUGGUUCCGGAGAUGCUAAAUGUGACAAAGCAAUGCUUUUCCUUGGGAAACAUACUCCUGACAUCUACUCAGUGCUGAUAUGCGGCAAGACCUACCCAUCCCUGUUGCUGGCACUGCUCCUGCCUGGCAGUGCCAAGGAACUGUGAAAGUGCAUGCGGGGUUUCCUCAUCUGAGCCUUUGUUCCCCAUUCUCUUAUUCUACUGAGCCCUGAGACUAACACACAGGCCAAUCACACUGUGUGACUGGGUUUCUCGUUUGGGAGCAGAUUUUAUCUCAUGUGUACGUUUAUCCUACACACAAUAAAAAACGGUGUCCCUCCCCAUCCUCACAAUUCCCUGACCUUAACCCCACUCAGAGCUCCAACA